ACGAAUAUCUCUGGAAUGAGGAAGACCUUCAUCUCCGAUCUGCAUGAGACCUUGGUGAGAUCUAUAUACGACUUUUUGGGCGUUUAUUCUGUGUCGGCGCGAGAUUUUGUCCAUUCACUAUGGUCGCUUGUUCAGUAUCGGCAUACCGCAGCCACUGAUGGCACUACUUUUUUCGCUGUCACCGGUCGAGAUACCAGCGUUCCAGGCUAUGAUACAGUUGUUGGGCCUGCUGAAUUAUACUAUCCGUUAAAGGUAGUGAUUGAAAAUGAUUUAUCGCUACUUAGCUGGAUUCGAAAGGUUUCCAAAAUUGACCAACAGGCUUCGCAGAAUGCCUACAUAGGAUAUGACAAAAUCCAGGACCAAAUCUUACCUCUAAAAGCGCAAGUGUGUAUAACUGUAUCCGACAGUCUUGAUAUUAUUGAGGAAGGCGACUGUGAUAUUCGCUUCCCUUUAACAAUCAAUGUUGAUUUUGAGAGACAUUUGGUCAAUAUGCAAUAUUAUUCUGAGACAUCAGAAGAUCACGAUUUACAGGUUAUUUUCAACCAUUUUAUCGCUCUAGUGGAAGAGGCUAUUCGAGACCCUAAGACCAUUGUGUCGGGCAUUGACAUUGUACCAAAGGAGGAAAAGGAGUUCCUAUUACGGUGCAGCGAGCCCGUUACCCUGCCCGCCACCGGCCUCAUCCAUGAACUCUUUGAGCGUCAAGCCGAAUUGAAUCCGCAACACGAAUGCCUAAACUUCGAAGGCCAAAUGGACUUUACUUAUGGGGAGCUCAAUAAAUUAUCCAAUCAAGUUGCUCGCCAGCUUGGUUGUGGUCGGGGUGAUUACGUACCCGUUUGCAUGGACCGUUCACCUGCAUUGAUCGUCUCUAUAUUGGCCAUCCUAAAAACGGGGGCCGCCUACGUUAUUCUGGACCCUGAAAGCCCCGUCGAACGGAAUUCCUUCAUUGUCACUGACGUUCAGGCACCGUUUGUUAUAAC
rnacentral:sRNA from 2 species